UUGACCACGCUAUUGUGAUAAUCUUGGCCAGGAUCACUUUAUAUCAUGUUGAACCACCUUGGAAUUCGUAGAGACUUUUAUCAUCGAAGGAUGUACUCACAGAACACAAUGAGUGGGUUAUGCCUUUCUACACUUCUGUCCAUAGCAGUGGGAUAUGUUUUCUGCACUGCGCGGCUACCCUCUAAUGUCGCGAUGGCUGACGAAGAGAUCUCGGUUUAUGGCUCGCUAGGUUCAGCUAGUUCCACUAACAGCUGUCUCCGAGCACUUGCAUAGGUCAGCUGAUAUACGUCACGUCCCCUCUUUGGUUUUACUAGACUGCUGCAAAAAUAUGAUCAGUGUGACUCCGCAAUUUUUAUAAUCAAAGGAAGUACUCACAUAUGUAAACACUGAUAUAGGGUUUGUAGAUGCUUAGAGAUAGCAGUAAAUGAGUAGUAAUAUUUUGAUCCAGACAGUGUGAUGAUUUAAACUCUGUUUUCUAUAUGACCUUCAUGUAGUUGAUUGCUUUGUUUUCACUAUUGCUACUGCAUGAUUUGUUCAGAGAGAGUUGCCAACUGAGCUUAUAUUUUUGUUAACUUACUGAAUGAUAACCAGACUAACCUUGCCAUCUGUUUUUUGUCGAAAGAACUUGAAUUGUUUUCUGAACUUGCACUAAAUAUGUUCAUGUUUGUGUUCCAAUUGGAUGUUUUUUUUUGGUAACUGAUAUUUGAUUCCAGAUUAUCUAUUUUUUUAAGUAGUACAUGUUCAUGUUUGCAUAUCAGUUGGAAGCCAAAAAUAUUUCUGUUAAAGUACUGCAAGAUAACCAGACUCACCUUUGCAUAUACAUUUUGUUCAAAAAAAUGAAUCAUGCACUGGACUUGCACUAAUUAUGUUCAUGUUUGUGUUUUCGUGGGAAGCAAAAUUCAUUUCUGGUAAAUUAAUGCAAGGUAACAAGACUCACCUUUGCAUAUAUAUUUUAGUUGAAAGAGAAUUGAACCAUAUAUGUUGUGUACCGAUAAAGUUAUAUAUUGGUUCCUUCUGUUGCUUUAUUUAGCUUCUAUUGGUUGUGUUUCUCACGAAAACUAACUUAUGUUGAGUUUCUAUUGGUUAUGUCUCUGUCCAGGUUGAGUUGAGCAUAUGUAUGCCUACCUCAGUCGAUGAGGUUUCUCUACCUUCGCUCUAUGACGCAGAUUGAUUUCUUUUCUAGGCUUUUACUGUAUCAUGUGGCUGUACCAUUGUUGCAUGUCUCUAAUUGUUUAUGUUGCUGAAAUCACAACCACUAAUACUAUGUUGUUGAUAGAUAGAAGAUUUUAGAAGCGCAUUGUUUCAGAAUUAAGAAAUUUAUGUCUCUGAUAUGGAAGUAUGUAUUAUGUUGUUGUUGCCAAGAUCUAGCAUUCUAAUUGUUGAUCCUUUUCUAGAGAAUAAGAUCCCAUGGUCAUUUAUGUUGUCACUGCGUAGGCGAAAAUAAUUAUGUGUGGUUUCAUGGACUCUUACCUUAUUGAUGGGCACCAUGCAGAGUUUGAGGAGAUGUAGGCCAGCGUGUGACCUCUCUCGCUUUUCAAGUCACCGCUGAGCCGCCUUCUUUGCUUCAGAGGCUUCUUGUGUCACCAUAGAUCCGGCCGUGUGUCACAACAUGCAACCAAAUCAAAUGAAGGAGUGUGGACAAAGUUAUAUAUCAUUGGCCAUGCCGCCAAAUGCGAUCCAAAAUCGAGCGGAUGAAGUGGCAGCACCGACGCAUGCGCUCGUCGCUGGCUCGGCUGCGUACCGCCGCCAACCAUAGCUUCAGCGGAUGGAAGAUGUAUGCCGCAGCGUCUCUCCCGAUCUCUUUUUCCGAAUGGAUUUGAGGGAGCCUUCAGCCCUUCACAGGAACCUUUUCUUGGAUCUGAUACAGAAGAGAUUGAGAAUUGGGGACUAUUCAUUAGAGGGAUUAGAGUUGGUAUCGUGAUCUUCUGGAAGUAUGUGGUAGGAGAGAGAUGAUGGUAUAUUCAGUAGAGUUGAUAUCCAUUGCCAAAUGAAAAAGCACGAAUGGCCAUUUUGAGUCGCUUGGUGACAUGAUGAUUCGAGGAGCAUGACCGGCAAACCCACCUUCAGUUUUAACUUAUGGUCUGGUAUUCCUGGAGACGUUAAGGUGUUGAGGAACUCAGUAGGCUGCAUGUUCAUCAUGAUGUUGGUAUUUGUCGUUGCCUUGCAGACUGUGUCCAGGCUUAGGUAAUCCCGCUCACGGUAUUUUUGCAGCAAAUUUGGGUAUAUGCUUUUAACGAUUUGUUCUUUACGAUUUUCUCCUUUCUCUAGCAGUAGGUCUUUUGGUAUUUUUAUCCAAUCCUCUCCUUCAUCUGAUGUUGUUUUCCCAUCGCCAAUCUGUAGUAUCCACUCUGCAAAUUCAGCGACCUUUUGCUUUUGUAUUGGAUCAUCUGACAAACACUUCAGCCGCAUGUUUUGUGUUAACUCAAAUAUUUCAAAGUGUUUUCACAGAUAUGAUCUUUUGAUUGAAGCAUUUACUAUCUGCUCUCUCCUUCCUUUGGUUAUAACUGGCAGGAUUUUUCUGAAGUCGCCUCCUAGUAUAACUGUCAUUCCACCAAAUGGCUUUUCAUCGCUGUUUACAUUAGUGAAUCUUAGAAUAUCUCUAAGGCUUUUGUCUAGUGCCUCAAAGCAGUGUUUGUUUGCCAUAGGAGCCUCAUCCCACAAUAUAAGUGAGGUCUUCUUUAGCAGUUCAGCCAAAUGCGAGCCUUGUUUUAUUUCACACGUUGAUUCUUCAGUGAUAUUAAGUGGAAUACGGAACCUUGAGUGUGAUGUUCUUCCACCUUGGAGAAGCAACGCUGCAAUGCCACAUGAUGCUACCGCAAGCACUAUCUUCCCCUCUGAUCUGAGCUUUGUUGUUAUUGCUUUCCAUAGAUAGAUUUUUCCUGUGCCACCGUAGCCUUCGACAAAUAUCUGCUUUCCUAGGCCUUUGUGGACUGACUCCAUUAUUGCAUCAUAGGCCUUUUUCUGGUCUUGGUUAAGAUUGUUUAGUAUGAUUUUGUGCUCAUCCUUGAGUUUGUCCAUGUCGUAGUUGACCUCUUUGUUUAUUAGUCUGUUCCCAAGUUCUUCUAGCUCUGCGGCAUAUGGUAGUUCUAUGUCUGGAUAGUCCUUUCGUGACUUUCCUACUUGCCUCAUCAGUUUUUCUAUCUCAAUCAGACCAUACGCUUUCUUAUGUGUGUUUAUAAGCCGAAGUGUUGGAAAGUUUAGAAUAGUCCUUCUUUUGUAUUGCAUAUCUUCACACAACGCCUCCCAUGUUGAAUCCCACAAUACCUUUGGGUUUGACUUCGCAAUGGGACAAUAUGGUGGUGAAUAACUGACGCAGUUGUGUUCCGGAUGCCCAACUUGAUGCUUCAUUGAUACAGUCAAUCCACUCGGUGUCAUCAUCGAUAAAUCUGAGGGCUUGGCAUGCUGAUUUGUAUGUUGGGUGAAUGACUCCAUCAACGGUCCUAAUGUCCUCAAAUGAUGUGCAUCCUUUCUUGGUGUUUAGAAGCAUCCUCAUAUGAUAUCUCUCGCCACUUGCGGGAUGUGCAUAGUAGAUUCUUCCAAUUGCAUAGUCCCUUUUUCGCUUCUGCCAACAUUUUGUUUCGCUUUUCCAUACAAACUUUGUAGGGAAUUCUGCGUAAGUCAAUCCUUUUCCUAGCUCGUAUAUUUUAUUUGCCUCCAUCCACUGAGUGAACUUGGUGAUUUUAGAUCCGUCCCUUGUUACUAUCUUUUCAAGAUCAGUGGAGUCUGGAAAAACGACUUGUUGCUCAUUUUCAAGAUGGAAAGGUAGCCUCUCAACUGCUGGAUCGCGAUACUGAAGAUCAAACUGAAAUAUCCUCCAUCAUGCUUCUGAUGUUGAUAUGUAUCUCAUCUCUAGGUAUUUCUUGAUCUCGUCAGUUUCGUUUGUCGUGCCCCUUUCCUUGAGUAAGGCUGUAACAUGCUCAUCAUCUUUAUGGAUAUACUUAAAUAGGUACUUGAUUGAUCUGGACCUAUUGCACCACUCGACAUUUAUGUGAGCUUGAUACUUGACCAGAAGGUUCCGGUUGUAUGGCAUGACAAAUCUUUUGUCGAGCAUCACCCCUCCUUUUUUUAUCUGCCUUCCGUCAUCCCUCCUUUUAUAUACUGGAAAUCCAUCCUCGUUAAUGGUAGUGCUGACAUUGUAUCUUUUUGGGAAAUGCUUGGUGCAUCUAUGGUCCACCAUGCAUGGUGAGUUUUUCUUAGCCUCUCCGCACGGGACAUGCAUCAUGAAGUUCUCAACAGCUUCAAAUGACUUUGGAUCCUCAUCCUUGUUUGGGAUCUCAGCGCUUAUUAUUUUGUCGAUUUGCGAUGGUUCUAGGUACUUGUCUUUGUCCUUCAAAAAUAUUAGUAUGUGGGCAUGCGGGAGUCCUCUCUUCUGGAAUUCUAUUGUGUAGAUGACUGCAGUUGAUUAAUAGUUUGUCAGAUUUAGCUAAAAUUGGAAUGCAUGUUACUAAAGAGCUAGAAUCUGACGGAGUAUAAGAUGAUGCAUGUUUCUAAAGAGCAAGAGUCUGACGGACUAUAAAAGAUGAUACAAGAAAGAGUAAAGAUUGAUAGUCAAUGUGACUUACUUUCAACUAUUUCUCCAAAGUAUUUCUUUUCUUUUAUGUCUCUCAUUAGCUCCUUCAGUUUGAUCAUAAAUACUCUGUCCACAAUAUCUGGCCGAUCGGCUAGCUUUUGGCCACCUCCCGCUUCAUCUAGCAUGUAUUGGAUCUCAGGCCACUUUGCAUUACAUGUGAAUGUUAUAAAUAGGUCUGGGUAUCCAGCCCAACGACAUAUUGCAAAGGCCUCUUGCAAAUAUUGUGCCUUGUUUCUUCUACCACCUGUAAAAGAUGAAGGCACAAUUAUCCUCUUUCCAACUUGCUCUGUUCUUGUGUCCCCUCGCUCAAUCGCAUCCUGCAAUCCACUGUAAAGUUCAGCUCAUAGCUUUCCUUGAUUGUGUCGGAUCCAGUUUAGUCUAUUUUGCUCGAUACAUGUGUAUACAUCCACCCAAAAUUACAGUGACAAAUGCCCGGACUUAAGCAGUAACAUUCCUUGAUCAGGACGUUGCUGUAGGUAGAAUGCAUAGUAGUCCAACAACGUUAUGUAUUUCAUGCUGUUUGUACCUCCUUUUGUUUUCUUGUAGGGUAUCUCAAGUUUAAAACCAUCUUCUCCAUAUGGGAACAACAGCGGAUAUUGCAUGGACAUGAAUUUCGGGUGGAUCUCAAAUAUCCUUUGCGGCUCCAUAUUUUUGUACUCAACAACAAUGUCACGUCCUUCACUCUCUCCGGUUGGAUCUCUUACUACCAAUGCUGCAACUUCAAAUGCGGAUGGAAGGUUGUGUGUUUCGUUCCUUUUGCCUAGUAUCUGAAGUGUGUAAUCAUGGUAGUCUCCUUCUUGGAAUCUAUCUCUUGCCAUUCUGAAUGUUUUUGCGAGGAUGUUGUUGUCGUCGAGCAUUAUUUUCAGUUCUUUGACGAUGUUAGGGUCCACUGUUGGUUUAUUAUCAUUGCAUCUUGACGCACUUAUCCUGUUUUCCACCUCAUUUUCGGUAUCAUAGAUGUAUAGCUGUGCGAACCGAGGUUUGUCUGUAUCUUGAGGCAAAAGAGUUCCGAUAUGGUGGUAGUUUGGUCCAUGCAAACGAAAAACAUAAGGUCCUUUGCGAGUGUUUAUUUCCUUGUCCACAGCUCCUCCCAUCGAUGUGAAUGAAAACAUUGAGUUGUACGACCUUAUAUUUUCUUUGAAGUUUACCGAAUCCUGCCCUUCACUUCUUAAGAGGUUUCUAAGGUAUAGUGGAGGUUCUCUUAGUGGCCGCAGAUCGAUUUUCCCUUCUUUGCAGCAUAUUCCAAAAGAGGGUGUCGUAGUUCCUUUGUUUGAAUUUAAUCUUUCUUCGCACCACAGCAAUGCUUUGCAAUAUUGGCAUUUGUAUGUUGGCCUUCCAAAGUUCCAUGGCUUGCUAUUAGCACUUGUCGAGGUUCUGGUACUGUUGUUGUCUCCAACAUUGACUCUAGUGUUGUUUUUGUUGGUUUCGCUUCUGGCACGCUUCAAUUCCCUAUCUUCUUCUUCAGCAUUAGACUUUCUAAAUCGUUUAGGAGCCUCUGUGUUCGCGUUUCUUCUUCCCUCUGCAGUCCUUGUCCGCUUUGUACUCCUUGAGUUUAGAGGUUGUUCUUUCUUUCUUUUUGUUUGGUGAGCUGCUGGGUCUAACGUAUGUUGGGCUCUCAUAUCUGCAAAUGUGAUUUCGUCAGUGCGUAUAGUUUUCUUAACAUAGUAUCAUGUAAUAUGAUUUAUGUUGUACUCCCCCCGUAAAGAAAUAAAAGAGCGUUUAGAUUACUAAAGUAGUGAUCUAAACACUAUUAUAUUUCUCUACAGAGAGUGUGCUUAAUAGUGUUUUGCCUUUGAAGGCAUGCAAGUGCGUUUGGUGACAUAUGAGACUACCAAUGGAUGUUGUCACAUACAGUACAUCUGGAGAUUAAUGUUGUUUAUUUGGUAGGGAACUAUAUAUCAAUAAUUGUUCAACCGUGUUUCUCAUUUUGUAGCUUUCACAUUAUUAUCAUGGUAGUGUUAGGAUGCAUGAAAAAAAAGAGCUUUAUAGUUCAGUAUGAGAAGAGUUUUGACGCAAUGUUGAGCUGAGAUCAAAAUGCAGGCACACACAUGAAGAUUCAUGGGGAUAUUACCUGAGGCUGAUGGUGCUGAUGUUGUGUCUUUAGUUCAUUGGACGUUUCUUUGUGCCUUUGAUCGUUUGGGUGUCGCCGGCGUAUAUUGGAUGCAAGUUGCUGGAGUUGUUGCCAUACCUUCAAUUUAGCGGUCUUUUCGUGUGUUUGAUAUUCCCGACAUCAUGAAAAAGUAGCUAUUGAGAAAGUGCAUCAUGGGUCAUUUAUGAAUGUCUGUCUUGUAAAAUUAUGGUUGAAUGAUGAUUAUGUGAUAUAAGCAGAGGGAUGAGUGUAUGUGACCAUA